UGAGAUCAGUUGCUGUCAUUGCAUUUAAUUUUCCAAUUGAGUGACUGUGGUUCCCACUGUAAGGUCUGCCCAGAGAGAAAAGCAAUGAAACAGCUCUUGAAGGAUGCUGGGGCUCCCCUCACAAACCCAUUUCUUACAAUAUUGGUGAAAGGUGUGUCUGGACUAGUGUGGGUAAGUAUGUCUAAAAUGGCAAAUCUACUCUAAUUCCAAUCUCUUCAAUUCCCUUCCUCUACAUUAAAACAAGGGAUAUCUGGCACCUCCAACUUGCUCAUUGUAGGCCGCCUUUUAAUCUGUUUCCCCUAACCAACUAAACUAUUAGGUCUUUUUUACACGCCCAGGGCUGCAGCAUUCAGUGCAGAAUCUCUGCUUAGUGGGCCCACAUCAAUACAUUUGGCCUGAUCCGACUUUAUGGUCUUUCCACCAUUAUCCUGCAUGUUUAAUGGAUCCUUAAGAUCCAUUUCCACACAUUUACUGGAUUUCUGCCUGUAUGAAUUAGAAAACUCAAGUAGUUCUUUUGGAUUGUGGCACACCUCCUCCUGGGUCCUGCUAUGUCCUCACCUUUGGGGGCCUGCUGGGCCUUGAGUCUAGUUAUAGGUCUAGUAAAGACAGGUGGGUCCUAAGGAAACUCAGCAUUGUCUUGCAUGACAACUGCCUCAGGGGAGGUCUUUAUCAUUUCCUCCAGCAAUGCAGGGUUAAUCUCCUCAGGCCAAGGCCAACACCACGAAGGGUGUGAAGGCUGCUUCCCCUGGGGAUGGGGAGGCUAGUUUUGCUGUGGAUGGGAAGACAACUCCCGUGGGCAAAGAGAAUUCAUCAGAAUUUAGGAGCUCAAUGUCUCCCAGUUUCAUCAGGAUAUUCCCAUACACCCCCAUCCCAAUUUACAGGUUGUCAUCCUCUCCCAAUCAAUACCCUCACUUUAAUAGUAGACAUCCUGGGAGGCUGGGAGUUCAGCUUUUGCUGUAAUUCAGCCAGUCACAUGGUGAGGACUUGUGUUUGAUUUUCAGCAGUUUCAACCCUGUGGCUACAGAGGGUCAUCCCUCAUGGUGGCCCUGACAGGGCGUGGGGGAGAGAGGCUAGGGCAUCUGUGGUCUUCUUUUGGGAGAUAUGGGGCUCACCCUCUGCACUUUGCCUAAGCUGCAUCCCACACUUUCUGGGCAACCUCCUAUGUCUCAACUCCUGGCCCUGCUGUGCCCCCAGAAGGCUCCUCUUGACAGGCCACCCUCUUAGGCAGGGUCCUUUUGGGAUGACUCACACCUGAUACCUUGAGGACCAGCAUCACUUGCAACCUUGUCUGUCCACACGGUGCACCUGAAGCGUCUCCACUGCCAGCCCUCUUCCCAGCUUUUCCAGCAACGGAUGUCCAUAGCCUGCCCUCCUACCCAGGAGUGGUGUCCAUCUCUGUCUCAGGGAUGCUACUGGUCUGUUUGCUCACAGCAGGGAUGGGCCUGCGAGUGCCGGCGCUGAGCAGGCAGCCUGCAGCCCUGAGCCGGCUCCCACUUCAGGGCCAUAGAGGGCGGGGAAGGGGGCAGGGCCUGGCAGAGGCUGGAGAUGCUUGGAUGGGGGCCAACAGCAGGGGGAUGGGGGAAGGCAGCGCCUAGCAGCUAUCCUUGAAAUGAGUGUUUUCGCAGCCAAAGCUCAGGUGUAGGCCCACUCCCCCAUGCCACGGCCUUUUGAACAUGUGGAACCAGGACUCGGAACGUCCUGUUUUAAAGUGGGAGGUGGGCUGUCACUGGCAGGCGAGAGCUGCCGCCGCGCCUCUGCGAGGCUCCCCAUUCCUGCGACCCUAUCACAUGUGGAAGGUGGGUGGGAGGGUGGUGGCGCGGUUGAUCUGAUCUCUGUCCCAAAUAAGGCUCUUGAGGAGGACGCAGGGCACUUCCAGGGCGAGGGUGCCGCUGGGCUCUGACAAGCCCUUUGGGGACUCGUGGAGUCGUGGGAAUGCCAGCUGACUCAGCGAGGGCGGCCUUGGCCACAGCAAGGUCGCUGUUCACUGAAGAUGUGAGGAGUGCGCUGGCCGCAGCAGCCCAGGUGGCCCCUUGCCUGCCUGGCCAAUCAAGGGUGGCAUGUGAAUGCCACCAGCCAACAAGCACAGGGACCACACAGCGACCUGCUCACUAGCUGUAAAUGCCACCAUUAUGAUUGGAAUUGUAUGUCCCCCAACUCACAUGUUGAAGCCCUAGCCUCAGUACCUCAGAAUGGGGCUGUGUUUGGAGGUAGGGCCUUUAGAGAGGUGACUCAGUUACAUCGAGGCCUUCAGGGUGAGCCCUCCAUUCAGUGUGACUGGGGUCCUGAAAAGAAGACAAUGUUUGGGCAUUCAGAAAGACACAGGACCACAGGCUGUGUGUGCACAGAAGAAAGGCCACGAGAAGGUGACCAUCUGCAAGCCACAGAGGGAGACCUCGGGGGAACCGACUCUGCCGGCACCUUCAUUGUGAACCUGCAGCCUCCAGAGCUGUGAGAAAUACAUUUCUGUUGUUUAAGCCUCCCAGUCUGUAGUAUGUUGUUAUGGCAGCUGGAGUGAACUAGCACAGCCACUGGAGUUUGGCCAACAAGCACACUGAAGCCAUGAGAAGUGAACCAUUUGUUUCAGAGAAGUGUAAUCAAGCCAAAAAGAAAACAAUCUCCCUUAGCACUCAGGGUGAACGCCAACCUUGAGCUGACUGUCAUUGUGGAAAACUGGGGCCUUCUUGACUGACCUAACUGGACAGAUGGCGAUGGAGGAGGAGGCUGUGCUGACACAUUCGGCUGAGCUCCUGCCUGUGCUUCCCAGCAGCUGCCCACACCAGCCACAGGGAUCACGCCCAACCUGCCUGGAGCACCGGUGAGACGUACGGAGCCAUAAGGAGAGACUUCUGCAUUCUGGUGACCAACUGACUCCACCUGGACCCGUGAUUCCUGACUCAACAGGUCCUGUGGCCCCCACCCAGAAGUUGACUUAGCACAUGAGGACCAUUUUCCACAUCCCUAUGACUUCAUCCCCAGUCAGCAUCAUCCAUUCCCUAGCCCCCUGCCUGACAAUUUAUCCAUAAAAACUCUAGCCUCUGAAUUCUCAGGGAGGUUGAUUUGAGUAAUAAACUCCAUCUUCCAAUUGGCUAGCCCUGUGUUAAUUAAACUCUUUUUUAAAUUAUUU
rnacentral:lncRNA from 1 species